GGAGAGGUGUCUGAGUGGUUUAAGGUGACAGCUUGGAAAGUUGUUGUGGGGUAACCCACCGUAGGUUCGAAUCCUAUCCUCUCCGCCA
rnacentral:tRNA from 1 species